AGUGAACGCUGGCGGCGUGCCUAACACAUGCAAGUCGAACGAUGAUGGAGAGCUUGCUCUCCUGAUUAGUGGCGCACGGGUGAGUAUACCAUAGAUAAUGUACCUCUUAGUUCGGGAUAGCCACUGGAAACGGUGAUUAAUACCGGAUACUCCUUCUUGUCUCAAGGCAAGUCGGGGAAGUUUUUUCGCUAAGAGAUCAGUCUAUGUCCUAUCAGCUAGUUGGUGAGGUAAUGGCUCACCAAGGCAAUGACGGGUAUCUGGUUUGAGAGGAUGAUCAGACACACUGGAACUGAGACACGGUCCAGACUCCUACGGGAGGCAGCAGUGAGGAAUAUUGCACAAUGGAGGAAACUCUGAUGCAGCAACGCCGCGUGGAGGAUGACGCAUUUCGGUGUGUAAACUCCUUUUAAGAGGGAAGAUAAUGACGGUACCUCUUGAAUAAGCACCGGCUAACUCCGUGCCAGCAGCCGCAGUAA
rnacentral:rRNA from 1 species